UGAGAAAACAGAUUUUGAAACUGUCAGUCUU
rnacentral:piRNA from 1 species